ACGCGAACCUAAAAUAUAACCAAACAGUUG
rnacentral:piRNA from 1 species